GAGGAAUAUUGGUCAAUGGGCGAGAGCCUGAACCAGCCAAGUAGCGUGAAGGAUGACUGCCCUAUGGGUUGUAAACUUCUUUUAUAAAGGAAUAAAGUCGGGUAUGGAUACCCGUUUGCAUGUACUUUAUGAAUAAGGAUCGGCUAACUCCGUGCCAGCAGCCGCGGUAAUACGGAGGAUCCGAGCGUUAUCCGGAUUUAUUGGGUUUAAAGGGAGCGUAGAUGGAUGUUUAAGUCAGUUGUGAAAGUUUGCGGCUCAACCGUAAAAUUGCAGUUGAUACUGGAUAUCUUGAGUGCAGUUGAGGCAGGCGGAAUUCGUGGUGUAGCGGUGAAAUGCUUAGAUAUCACGAAGAACUCCGAUUGCGAAGGCAGCCUGCUAAGCUGCAACUGACAUUGAGGCUCGAAAGUGUGGGUAUCAAACAGGAUUAGAUACCCUGGUAGUCCACACGGUAAACGAUGAAUACUCGCUGUUUGCGAUAUACAGCAAGCGGCCAAGCGAAAGCGUUAAGUAUUCCACCUGGGGAGUACGCCGGCAACGGUGAAACUCAAAGGAAUUGACGGGGGCCCGCACAAGCGGAGGAACAUGUGGUUUAAUUCGAUGAUACGCGAGGAACCUUACCCGGGCUUAAAUUGCAGAUGAAUUACGGUGAAAGCCGUAAGCCGCAAGGCAUCUGUGAAGGUGCUGCAUGGUUGUCGUCAGCUCGUGCCGUGAGGUGUCGGCUUAAGUGCCAUAACGAGCGCAACCCUUGUUGUCAGUUACUAACAGGUUCCGCUGAGGACUCUGACAAGACUGCCAUCGUAAGAUGUGAGGAAGGUGGGGAUGACGUCAAAUCAGCACGGCCCUUACGUCCGGGGCUACACACGUGUUACAAUGGGGGGUACAGAGGGCCGCUACCACGCGAGUGGAUGCCAAUCCCAAAAACCUCUCUCAGUUCGGACUGGAGUCUGCAACCCGACUCCACGAAGCUGGAUUCGCUAGUAAUCGCGCAUCAGCCACGGCGCGGUGAAUACGUUCCCG
rnacentral:rRNA from 1 species